UAAAAUUGAUGCAUUAGGGUUAAUGACGGCACAAGGGUUGUGUUGUCAAAGAGUUAUGCGAUUAGUGUUGUGACUACGCAAGAGUUGUGCUUUAAAGUAUCAAGUGUUUAUGCGAAAAACGACGUCGAUUUCAAAUGAAUUGUUCAUUAAAAUUUCGGCCAGGGGCGCUUCCCCCUUGACCCCCGUCCGCUGAUCAGUCAGCGGAACCACCGCCCGCUGAUCGGUCAGCGGAACCCCCGUCUCGCUCACCGAGCAGCGGACCCCCGGCUAACUCUGCGUAGUGUGAUAGGUCGCCGAAAUUUAAUUUGGUUUUAAUUAAUUAAAAUAAUUAAAAUUAAUAACAAUAAUGUGUUUAUUAUUAUUGUCUUGUGGUGAUCAGUUAUGACCUUAGUUUUCCUAUAUUUUGUUUUGGGUUUUUAAAAUACGACCUGCGUGUCGUGCCUCUCUUUUAAUCUCAUAAUGUACUUUUUUUUCUCAUCUCACUCCCU
rnacentral:lncRNA from 1 species